CCCUUAGAUGUUCUGGGCCGCACGCGUGCUACACUGAUGCAUUCAACGAGUCUAAAACCUGGUCUGAUAGGGCUGGGUAAUCUUUUGAAAGUGCAUCGUGAUUGGGAUAGAUGAUUGCAAUUCUUCAUCUUCAACGAGGAAUGCCUAGUAAACGCAAGUCAUCAGCUUGCAUUGAUUACGUCCCUGCCCUUUGUACACACCGCCCGUCGCUCCUACCGAUUGAAUGAUCCGAUGAAUACCAUGGAUUGAGAGUACGAAUAGGUUCGCUUAUUUCUGCUGCUCGAGAAGUGGAGUAAAUCUUAUCAUUUAGAGGAAGGAAAAGUCGUAACA
rnacentral:rRNA from 1 species